GAUGAAGAACGCAGCGAAAUGCGAUAACUAAUGUGAAUUGCAGAAUUCAGUGAAUCAUCGAGUCUUUGAACGCACAUUGCGCCCCCUGGUAUUCCGGGGGGCAUGCCUGUCCGAGCGUCAUUGCUGCCCUCAAGCACGGCUUGUGUGUCGGGCUCCGUCCCCCCGGGGACGGGCCCGAAAGGCAGCGGCGGCACCGAGUCCGGUCCUCGAGCGUAUGGGGCUUUGUCACCCGCUCUGUAGGCCCGGCCGGCGCCAGCCGACAACCCAUCAUCCUUUUCAGGUUGACCUCGGAUCAGGUAGGGAUACCCGCUGAACUUAAGCAUAUCAAUAAGCGGAGGA
rnacentral:misc_RNA from 1 species